UCACGUAACUUUGGUUCCAGACGAAGCUCCUCCAGCAGACGUCUUCUCUAAUCCUUAGAAGAAUACAACCUUCUGUGUGUUUUGGUUUGAGGAAAUUAUCACCUGAAUUACCUACGGUUAUCAAGGAAGCGGAAAAAAAAAAAGAGAAAAUUACUGACCCAGAAGAGCUCUAGGAAGUUCCUACCCAUCAUCCAACCACUAUCCACUAUCCACUAC